rnacentral:rRNA from 1 species
CCUACGGGGAGCAGCAGUGAGGAAUAUUGGUCAAUGGUCGGGAGACUGAACCAGCCAAGCCGCGUGAGGGAGGAAGGUACAGAGUAUCGUAAACCUCUUUUGUCAGGGAACAAAGGCGGGGACGUGUCCCCGGAUGAGUGUACCUGAAGAAAAAGCAUCGGCUAACUCCGUGCCAGCAGCCGCGGUAAUACGGAGGAUGCGAGCGUUAUCCGGAUUUAUUGGGGUAAAAGGGGGCGCAGGCGGUCUGUUAAGUCAGGGGUAAAAGCCCGGGGCUCAACCCCGGUCCGCCGUUGAUACUGGCAGUCUCGAGUUGGAGAGAAGUAUGCGGAAUGCGCGGUGUAGCGGUGAAAUGCAUAGAUAUCGCGAAGAACUCCGAUUGCGAAGGCAGCAUGCCGGCUCCACACUGACGCUGAGGCACGAAAGCGUGGGUAUCGAACAGGAUUAGAUACCCGAGUAGUC